AGUGAAUAGAUACCCUGGUAGUCCCAGCCGUAAACGAUGCUCGCUAGGUGUCAGGCAUGGCGCGACCGUGUCUGGUGCCGCAGGGAAGCCGUGAAGCGAGCCACCUGGGAAGUACGGCCGCAAGGCUGAAACUUAAAGGAAUUGGCGGGGGAGCACAACAACGGGUGGAGCCUGCGGUUUAAUUGGACUCAACGCCGGACAACUCACCGGGGGCGACAGCAAUAUGUAGGCCAAGCUGAAGACUUUGCCUGAAUCGCUGAGAGGAGGUGCAUGGCCGUCGCCAGUUCGUACUGUGAAGCAUCCUGUUAAGUCAGGCAACGAGCGAGACCCGUGCCCACUGUUACCAGCAUGUCCU
rnacentral:rRNA from 1 species